rnacentral:rRNA from 1 species
GGGGCAAGUGUUCUUCGGAAUUACUGGGCGUAAAGCGCGCGCAGGCGGCCCGCGAGGUGUCACGUGAAAGCCCCGGGCUCAACCCGGGAGGGUCGUGGCAAACCGGCGGGCUUGAGGCCGGUAGAGGUGGGUGGAACUCCUGGUGGAGUGGUGAAAUGCGUAGAGAUCAGGAAGAACACCCGUGGCGAAGGCGGCCCACUGGGCCGGUACUGACGCUGAGGCGCGAAGGCGUGGGGAGCGAACGGG